rnacentral:rRNA from 1 species
UACGGGGGGAGCAAGCGUUGUUCGGAUUUACUGGGCGUAAAGGGCGCGUAGGCGGUCAGCACAAGUCAGUUGUGAAAUCUCCGGGCUUAACUCGGAAAGGUCAACUGAUACUGUGCGACUAGAGUGCAGAAGGGGCAACUGGAAUUCUCGGUGUAGCGGUGAAAUGCGUAGAUAUCGAGAGGAACACCUGCGGCGAAGGCGGGUUGCUGGGCUGACACUGACGCUGAUGCGCGAAAGCCAGGGGAGCGAUCGGG